rfam:Otolemur garnettii contig168657, whole genome shotgun sequence.
GACGGGAGGCAGGUGGCAGGUGCCUGUAGUUCCAGCGACUCUGGAGGCUAAGACAGGAGGAUCACUUGAGUCCAGGAGUUCUGGGCUGUAAUGUGCUAUGCCAAUCAGGUGUCCACACUAAGUUCAGCAUCAAUAUGGUGACCUCCCAGGAGCAGGGGACCACCAGGUUGCCUAAGGAGGGGUGAACUGGCCCAGGUCGGAAAUGGAACGGGUCAAAGCUCCCAUGUUGAUCGGCAGUGGGAUCGCGCCUGUGAAUAGCCACUGCACUCCAGCCUGGGCAACAUAGUAAGACCCCGUCUCUU